CGUCCAGACUCCUACGGGAGGCAGCAGUGGGGGAUAUUGCACAAUGGGGGGAACCCUGAUGCAGCGACGCCGCGUGAAGGAAGAAGUAUCUCGGUAUGUAAACUUCUAUCAGCAGGGAAGAAAAUGACGGUACCUGACUAAGAAGCCCCGACUAACUACGUGCCAGCAGCCGCGGUAAUACGUAGGGGGCAAGCGUUAUCCGGAUUUACUGGGUGUAAAGGGCGAGUAGGCGGGAUUGCAAGUCAGAUGUGAAAACUAUGGGCUCAACCGAUAGAGUGCAUUUGAAACUGCAGUUCUUGAGUGAUGGAGAGGCAGGCGGAAUUCCCGGUGUAGCGGUGGAAUGCGUAGAUAUCGGGAGGAACACCAGUGGCGAAGGCGGCCUGCUGGACAUUAACUGACGCUGAGGCGCGAAAGCGUGGGGAGCAAACAGGAUUAGAUACCCCUGUAAU
rnacentral:rRNA from 1 species